GAUGAACGCUGGCGGCGUGCCUAAUACAUGCGAGUCGAGCGAACAGAUGAGGAGCUUGCUCCUCUGACGUUAGCGGCGGACGGGUGAGUAACACGUGGAUAACCUACCUAUAAGACUGGGAUAACUUCGGGAAACCGGAGCUAAUACCGGAUAAUAUAUUGAACCGCAUGGUUCAAUAGUGAAAGACGGUUUUGCUGUCACUUAUAGAUGGAUCCGCGCCGCAUUAGCUAGUUGGUAAGGUAACGGCUUACCAAGGCAACGAUGCGUAGCCGACCUGAGAGGGUGAUCGGCCACACUGGAACUGAGACACGGUCCAGACUCCUACGGGAGGCAGCAGUAGGGAAUCUUCGGCAAUGGGCGAAAGCCUGACGGAGCAACGCCGCGUGAGUGAUGAAGGUCUUCGGAUCGUAAAACUCUGUUAUUAGGGAAGAACAAAUGUGUAAGUAACUAUGCACGUCUUGACGGUACCUAAUCAGAAAGCCACGGCUAACUACGUG
rnacentral:rRNA from 1 species